GAGGGUAUAUAGUUCUUUUAGCUGGAGAGAAAUAAGGAGCUUACUUAGAGGUGUUCUGCCAGAUGGUGUAAAAGGUGCUGUCGUGGCCCUGGACCAGGCCAACUGAUCUGGAUGGAUUUAUAAGGAGUUGCAACAAGGCUGCUUUUGUGUCAACAGCAACAACAAUGUCCUGGGCCCAUUCCUGAACCAGAUGAUGGCUUCUAGGCGCCAGACUCAACUGUGGCCCUGCCAGCCUUGGCUGGCAGUGUGGGCCAGCUAACGGCUACUGCCAACGCGGGACUUCAGUGUUUAGAGUCCUGCAAGUGCCUUUAGAGUGAAUCUGAGUGCUGCCGGGAAGUCACCUCCGACCCGACAGCCCCACCCUGAAGAGCAUACCCCUCCUAUGUGGGAAUGUGUGGGGAGUGCUCAGAAGAUACAGCUCCCAAUUCCUACCCAGAGUUAAAUCAAAUUAUACUUAUUUGAUAAAUGUGGACAAAUUAACCACU